CUUUGAAUAAACAAAUAGAACUUGUGUGUAGAACUUGUAAAAACGUAGUAUUGAACUUGCUACAACUAUUAAAAAGUUGUUUUGUUCAUUGGCAUGUCUUUAAAACGAAAAUUGUCUCGAGCGGAAGAGAAGCGUCUUAAACGACUGUAUGAAAUGUUGAAAGGGGGAGAUACCAACAGCACUAUUACUUCUUUCUAUGAAAGAAAACUUCUCCUAGCUCUACCUCUAAACUACUUCUAGCUCUGUAACUAAUUAUUUUUACUAGAUAAUACUUCAAACUCUAACAGAUUUUUGACAGUACUUUUUCUACUGCAUCUCUUGCUACACCUGGCACUGCUGUUACUACUUCUUCUUAUUUUGGCUCUGCAUCCACUGUUACUUCGGCAUCAUCUUCUAGCUCUGUAUUUAAUUUUCUUCUUCGUUUACUAAAUCAGCCAAAAAUGAUGUCAACUCUGCCUCCUCUGUUACAGUCUACCAAAAAAAACAUCUAAGUAAUAGUCCGCAUCAACCUGUGUUUUUUGCAGUCAGAAGCGAUCAUUUUGUCAGCAAUAGUACAUGCUGUUUCCGUGGUUGCAUUAAAACAAAUGUAACAAUACAGUUUUAUGCUACUAUUGUAUGUUAAUGUAAAAGCAUAAAUUAUUAUCUAUAAAAUGCAGCCCGACAUCCGCAAGACGUCCGACGAAAGUCCCUCGGACGACGCGUGCCCACUGGGAGCGAGGAUGUUUUCUCAAAAAAUGGAUUUUCUUAUUUAAAAAAGGUUUACAACAAUUCCAGAAACACCAAAGUACUCUUUUUCAUCGAGAAGACAUUGAGAAGUUUUUAACUUAUUUCAUCGACUAAAGAUAUUAAUGAACUUUUCAAUAAUAAUAACCAGGAAUAUUCAGUUUCUCGCCAAACAAAGUAUUGCUCUGUGUUGUGAUUACAAUACAGACAUAGAGUAUAAAGAAUUUAAUUCGAACUUUUCUCUUUUAUGAUGUUCACAAGUAGAGUUGAGAUGUUCACAAGUAGAGUUGUUACUUGUGCACUUUUUGUUGCAAUGAAAUCUGUUACUUUUUA